rnacentral:tRNA from 1 species
GAGGGUACAGCUCAGUGGCAGAGCACAUGCUUACCAUGCAUAAGGUCCUGGGCUCAAUCUCCAGUACCUCCA